UACGUAGGUGGCAAGCGUUGUCCGGAAUUAUUGGGCGUAAAGCGCGCGCAGGCGGUCUUUUAAGUCUGAUGUGAAAGCCCACGGCUCAACCGUGGAAGGUCAUUGGAAACUGGGAGACUUGAGUACAGAAGAGGAAAGCGGAAUUCCACGUGUAGCGGUGAAAUGCGUAGAGAUGUGGAGGAACACCAGUGGCGAAGGCGGCUCUCUGGUCUGUAACUGACGCUGAGGCGCGAAAGCGUGGGGAGCAAACAGG
rnacentral:rRNA from 1 species